rnacentral:rRNA from 1 species
GACGAACGCUGGCGGCGUGCUUAACACAUGCAAGUCGAACGCUGAAGCCCAGCUUGCUGGGUGGAUGAGUGGCGAACGGGUGAGUAACACGUGAGUAACCUGCCCCCUUCUUUGGGAUAACGCCCGGAAACGGGUGCUAAUACUGGAUAUUCACUGGCCUUCGCAUGGGGGUUGGUGGAAAGGUUUUUUCUGGUGGGGGAUGGGCUCGCGGCCUAUCAGCUUGUUGGUGGGGUGAUGGCCUACCAAGGCUUUGACGGGUAGCCGGCCUGAGAGGGUGACCGGUCACAUUGGAACUGAGAUACGGUCCAAACUCCUACGGGAGGCAGCAGUGGGGAAUAUUGCACAAUGGGCGAAAGCCUGAUGCAGCGACGCCGCGUGAGGGAUGACGGCCUUCGGGUUGUAAACCUCUUUCGCUCAUGGUCAAGCCGCAGCUUUGGGUUGUGGUGAGGGUAGUGGGUAAAGAAGCGCCGGCUAACUACGUGCCAGCAGCCGCGGUAAUACGUAGGGCGCGAGCGUUGUCCGGAAUUAUUGGGCGUAAAGGGCUUGUAGGCGGUUGGUCGCGUCUGCCGUGAAAUCCUCUGGCUUAACUGGGGGCGUGCGGUGGGUACGGGCUGACUUGAGUGCGGUAGGGGAGACUGGAACUCCUGGUGUAGCGGUGGAAUGCGCAGAUAUCAGGAAGAACACCGGUGGCGAAGGCGGGUCUCUGGGCCGUUACUGACGCUGAGGAGCGAAAGCGUGGGGAGCGAACAGG